GAGGAAUUCCACUGAAGAUGAUGAAAGGACUGCUCUUGGCGUUUGCUAUUCUGGUACUGACUCAGCCCAGUCCCACUAGAGGGUUUCCAUGUGGUAUCCGCCAGGGGUGAUGACUUUUGUAAGAUGUACUGAAGAGUGUGUCUUGAAGACUGUGACCCCGAUCUCCAAAUCCCUGCACCUUGCCCGCUUUCAACCCAAUGUUUUUUUCAGUAAAAGUGAAAGAUCCAGUGAUGGAUUGGCAACAGCUUGAGCUCUCCACGUUCUCACUGAAUGUUCAUUCCUGAGAAACAGGCUCUGUUUGAUUGCUUCACUCCCCUAAGCCCUGACCCUGUAUUCCUGCUGUCUGAAUAAUGGGCUGUAAUCAGAAAUAAAACUGACUGCAUUGA